rnacentral:snoRNA from 10 species
UGGCAGUGAUGAUUUUUACACUUAUUGUUGUUCACCUGAUAACAUAAAUAUGAAGGUGUUCAGUCACUACCUCAUCUGAUGCCA